rnacentral:rRNA from 1 species
GAUGAACGCUGGCGGCGUGCCUAAUACAUGCAAGUCGAGCGAACGGACGAGAAGCUUGCUUCUCUGAUGUUAGCGGCGGACGGGUGGGUAACACGUGGAUAACCUACCUAUAAGACUGGGAUAACUUCGGGAAACCGGAGCUAAUACCGGAUAAUAUUUUGAACCGCAUGGUUCAAAAGUGAAAGACGGUCUUGCUGUCACUUAUAGAUGGAUCCGCGCUGCAUUAGCUAGUUGGUAAGGUAACGGCUUACCAAGGCAACGAUGCAUAGCCGACCUGAGAGGGUGAUCGGCCACACUGGAACUGAGACACGGUCCAGACUCCUACGGGAGGCAGCAGUAGGGAAUCUUCCGCAAUGGGCGAAAGCCUGACGGAGCAACGCCGCGUGAGUGAUGAAGGUCUUCGGAUCGUAAAACUCUGUUAUUAGGGAAGAACAUAUGUGUAAGUAACUGUGCACAUCUUGACGGUACCUAAUCAGAAAGCCACGGCUAACUACGUGCCAGCAGCCGCGGUAAUACGUAGGUGGCAAGCGUUAUCCGGAAUUAUUGGGCGUAAAGCGCGCGUAGGCGGUUUUUUAAGUCUGAUGUGAAAGCCCACGGCUCAACCGUGGAGGGUCAUUGGAAACUGGAAAACUUGAGUGCAGAAGAGGAAAGUGGAAUUCCAUGUGUAGCGGUGAAAUGCGCAGAGAUAUGGAGGAACACCAGUGGCGAAGGCGACUUUCUGGUCUGUAACUGACGCUGAUGUGCGAAAGCGUGGGGAUCAAACAGGAUUAGAUACCCUGGUAGUCCACGCCGUAAACGAUGAGUGCUAAGUGUUAGGGGGUUUCCGCCCCUUAGUGCUGCAGCUAACGCAUUAAGCACUCCGCCUGGGGAGUACGACCGCAAGGUUGAAACUCAAAGGAAUUGACGGGGACCCGCACAAGCGGUGGAGCAUGUGGUUUAAUUCGAAGCAACGCGAAGAACCUUACCAAAUCUUGACAUCCUUUGACAACUCUAGAGAUAGAGCCUUCCCCUUCGGGGGACAAAGUGACAGGUGGUGCAUGGUUGUCGUCAGCUCGUGUCGUGAGAUGUUGGGUUAAGUCCCGCAACGAGCGCAACCCUUAAGCUUGGUUGCCAUCAUUAAGUUGGGCACUCUAAGUUGACUGCCGGUGACAAACCGGAGGAAGGUGGGGAUGACGUCAAAUCAUCAUGCCCCUUAUGAUUUGGGCUACACACGUGCUACAAUGGACAAUACAAAGGGCAGCGAAACCGCGAGGUCAAGCAAAUCCCAUAAAGUUGUUCUCAGUUCGGAUUGUAGUCUGCAACUCGACUACAUGAAGCUGGAAUCGCUAGUAAUCGUAGAUCAGCAUGCUACGGUGAAUACGUUCCCGGGUCU